GUGAUGCCAGACAGAAAAGAAAGUGCAUUUCUCAGAAACAGGAUGGUGGUGCCAUCUGUCACUAUAAUGGCAAAAUAUGGCAUGGGCCAUGUUUCAUGCUACGUGACAGAUGCCACUAUUUUGU